rnacentral:rRNA from 1 species
AUUGAACGCUGGCGGCAUGCCUUACACAUGCAAGUCGAACGGUAACAGGUUAAGCUGACGAGUGGCGAACGGGUGAGUAAUGUAUCGGAACGUGCCCAGUUGUGGGGGAUAACUGCUCGAAAGAGCAGCUAAUACCGCAUACGACCUGAGGGUGAAAGCGGGGGAUCGCAAGACCUCGCGCAAUUGGAGCGGCCGAUAUCAGAUUAGGUAGUUGGUGGGGUAAAGGCUCACCAAGCCAACGAUCUGUAGCUGGUCUGAGAGGACGACCAGCCACACUGGGACUGAGACACGGCCCAGACUCCUACGGGAGGCAGCAGUGGGGAAUUUUGGACAAUGGGCGCAAGCCUGAUCCAGCCAUGCCGCGUGCGGGAAGAAGGCCUUCGGGUUGUAAACCGCUUUUGUCAGGGAAGAAACGCUCUGGGUUAAUACCCUGGGGUAACGACGGUACCUGAAGAAUAAGCACCGGCUAACUACGUGCCAGCAGCCGCCGCGGUAA